rnacentral:rRNA from 1 species
ACUCGAUCUCAAAUCAAGUAAGACUACCCGCUGAACUUAAGCAUAUC